GUAGUCUCGCACAGAUGCAUAUCAAUAAGCGGAGGAAAAGAAACUAACAAGGAUUCCCUUAGUAACGGCGAGUGAAGCGGGAAGAGCUCAAAUUUGAAAUCUUCAAGGUUUUACCUUGACGAAUUGUAGUUUAAAGAAGUGUUUUCUGUUGAAGUUUUGGUAAAAGUUCUUUGGAAUAGGACAUCAUAGAGGGUGAGAAUCCCGUAUUUGACCAUUAUUUUCAGCUGUGUGAUACACUUUCAAAGAGUCGGAUUGUUUGGGAAUGCAGUCCUAAAAUGGGUGGUAAAUUUCAUCUAAAGCUAAAUAUUGGCGAGAGACCGAUAGCGAACAAGUACCGUGAGGGAAAGAUGAAAAGAACUUUGAAAAGAGAGUUAAACAGUACGUGAAAUUGUCAAAAGGGAAGCGUUUGACACCAGUGUUGUUUUCUCGAAAAUCAAUUAAAAAGAGUUUGAUUUUGUUGUGUAUUGACCUUAACAGCUUGCAUUUCAAUUUUCUUGCUUUUUUUAAUGCACUUUUCGUUUAACAAGUCAACAUCAGUUUCUUUUGUUGUAAAAAGGUCAUUGGAAGGUGGCUUUCUUUUCGGAGAAAGUGUUUAUAGCCUUUGACUCCUGCAAUCGGAGAGACUGAGGUCUGCAGCGUAGAUCCUUCGGGGUUAGAUACAUUUGUGCUAAGUUAUAGCUUUUUAUAGACAACUUGUUGACUAUGAUUAGUCUCGUAGCUUACUCCGCUUAUGCUAUUUUACCUACGCUUAGGAUGUUGAGCGCAUGUCUCUCUCU
rnacentral:rRNA from 1 species